rnacentral:rRNA from 1 species
AACGCUGGCGGCAGGCUUAACACAUGCAAGUCGAGCGCCUCGCAAGAGGAGCGGCAGACGGGUGAGUAACGCGUGGGAAUCUACCCAUCUCUACGGAACAACUCCGGGAAACUGGAGCUAAUACCGUAUACGUCCUUCGGGAGAAAGAUUUAUCGGAGAUGGAUGAGCCCGCGUUGGAUUAGCUAGUUGGUGGGGUAAUGGCCUACCAAGGCGACGAUCCAUAGCUGGUCUGAGAGGAUGAUCAGCCACACUGGGACUGAGACACGGCCCAGACUCCUACGGGAGGCAGCAGUGGGGAAUAUUGGACAAUGGGCGCAAGCCUGAUCCAGCCAUGCCGCGUGAGUGAUGAAGGCCCUAGGGUUGUAAAGCUCUUUCAACGGUGAAGAUAAUGACGGUAACCGUAGAAGAAGCCCCGGCUAACUUNNUGCCAGCAGCCGCGGUAAUACGAAGGGGGCUAGCGUUGUUCGGAAUUACUGGGCGUAAAGCGCACGUAGGCGGAUACUUAAGUCAGGGGUGAAAUCCCGGGGCUCAACCCCGGAACUGCCUUUGAUACUGGGUAUCUCGAGUCCGGAAGAGGNGAGUGGAAUUCCGAGUGUAGAGGUGAAAUUCGUAGAUAUUCGGAGGAACACCAGUGGCGAAGGCGGCUCACUGGUCCGGUACUGACGCUGAGGUGCGA